rnacentral:rRNA from 1 species
UACGUAGGGGGCAAGCGUUACCCGGAUUCACUGGGCGUAAAGCGCGUGUAGGCGGCUGGCCAAGCGUGGUGUGAAAUCUCCGGGCUCAACCCGGAAACUGCACUGCGAACUGGCCUGGCUGGAGUGCAGGAGAGGGAUGCGGAAUUCACGGUGUAGCGGUGAAAUGCGUAGAUAUCAGGAGGAACACCGGUGGCGAAGGCGGAUCUCUGGGCCGAUACUGACGCUGAGGAGCGAAAGCGUGGGGAGCGAACAGG